CCUACGGGAGGCAGCAGUGAGGAAUAUUGGUCAAUGGCCGCAGGGCUGAACCAGCCAAGUCGCGUGAGGGAUGACGGUCCUAUGGAUUGUAAACCUCUUUUGUCAGGGAGCAAAGGGCGCCACGUGUGGCGUUUUGCGAGUACCUGAAGAAAAAGCAUCGGCUAACUCCGUGCCAGCAGCCGCGGUAAUACGGAGGAUGCGAGCGUUAUCCGGAUUUAUUGGGUUUAAAGGGUGCGCAGGCGGAAUGUCAAGUCAGCGGUAAAAUUUCGGGGCUCAACCCCGUCGUGCCGUUGAAACUGGCGUUCUUGAGUGAGCGAGAAGUAUGCGGAAUGCGUGGUGUAGCGGUGAAAUGCAUAGAUAUCACGCAGAACUCCGAUUGCGAAGGCAGCAUACCGGCGCUCAACUGACGCUCAUGCACGAAAGCGUGGGUAUCGAACAGGAUUAGAUACCCCAGUAGUC
rnacentral:rRNA from 1 species